GGUCAGGUUGGUUGAGUCACAUUCGAGCCUGGUCAUUCGUUUAUUAAAUAUACUAAAUUCUGACAUGUUAAUAGUUGGACCUAACUAAAACUUUUAGUGGAGGUACCACACACCUGUUGAAGAGGUGCCUGGGGUAAAAUUAACUACUAAAAAUUAUUUGAUAAAAUAAUUGAUUAAGAAUCUACCCAUAGGUGCACAG
rnacentral:lncRNA from 1 species